rnacentral:rRNA from 1 species
GACGAACGCUGGCGGCGUGCUUAACACAUGCAAGUGGAGCGACGAACCAGGCUUCGGCCUGGGGCAAAGCCGCGAACGGGUGAGUAACACGUGGGUAACCUGCCCCAAAGAUCGGGACAACCCGGGGAAACCCGGGCUAAUACCGAAUGUGCUCCCGUCACAUCAGUGACGGGUGGAAAGGAAGCUUCGGCCUCCGCUUUGGGAGGGGCCCGCGGCCCAUUAGCUUGUUGGUGAGGUAACGGCUCACCAAGGCUGCGAUGGGUAGCUGGUCUGAGAGGACGAGCAGCCACACUGGGACUGAGACACGGCCCAGACUCCUACGGGAGGCAGCAGUGGGGAAUCUUGCGCAAUGCGCGAAAGCGUGACGCAGCAACGCCGCGUGGGGGAAGAAGGCCUUCGGGUUGUAAACCCCUUUCAGGAGGGACGAAGCCUAGGUCGUUAAUAGCGGUCCUAGGUGACGGUACCUCCAGAAGAAGCCCCGGCUAACUACGUGCCAGCCGCCGCUGUAAUAC